CCAUUCAAAAUUUUACUAUAAAUUCUUUUUUGUUUUCUCCAGAUUUAAAUUCCAGAGUUCAGCCCUUAAGGCCAUGUAAACCAGCAAAGAGUCACCUUCUUCCCCCUUGUUUUUUGGCUUUAUACUGAAGUACUUCUCUUUUUCAGGGGCUUCCAGAGCUUCACGGUACCCUACCUGGACCGAGUUCACCUUCAAUCCCUAAGGAGGUCACAUCUCUGUCUCAAAUUGGGCCCCUUUUAUAUGAAAUCAUUGAGUUGACGUGGUACAAAUCCAGAGUUGACCCCCAAGGACCCUAAAAAAUAGAGGCCAUCCAGCCUGGAAGAGGACCCACAGGAGCUCCAGACUUGUGACGUUCACUAUUUGUUUUUGGGACUCUAAUACUGUAGUAGUUCUCUUUUCAGAUGGACCUGGCUUCAGCCCCUGCCACAGGAGUUCACCUUAGGUCGAUAAGGUGACUGAGGCCCCACUGAUCAAAGGACUUCGGCGACAGGAACCAAAGGAGCACCGCCACAAUUUUUGAGGUAUCCGGAGGUACCCUUCUAUGGUCACGAAGACUCCCUAAAGGGAUUUGUGGAUUAGUGAGUGAAGUGUAGUGAGUGUACUAAAAAUAACAUGUAAUGAACAGUAUAGUAGUGUAGUGUAGUGCCAAAGAGGGUGUAGCAGAUCUGGUUGGCGUUAUAGUCUCUUCCCUGGGGGCUUGUCUCUACGGGGGCAAAGUCCUCAGGACGUGGACAGAAGAGGACCUGUGAAGUAGACGAUAAGGCGGCGGAAUAUACCUUGAAAAGGUAUCUACUAGAGUUCAUACAGGUGAGCGAAUUCAUUAUUAUGCAUGACUUAAGUUUGAAAAUCAGAAAAUCUUAAUUAAUAAAAAACUAAAAUCGAUGGCGGACCGUUUUGGUUCGUCACUGGAUUUAGAUUUUUAAUGAAUUAAUGCCAAUGACAUAUCUUUUUUUUUUUAACGGAUUUUCAAACUUAAACAGUAGAGUCCUUAGGACUUAGAUAAAAGUAGAAAUACACACGUUUGCCCACCUUGUUUUUAACCCUGAUGAGCAGCCUCCCUGGGACACCCUGUAAAAGCCCACCCCGUCAUUUUCUCUUUCAGCUUUCCCUUAACACACACGUAGACGGGGUGAAACAUGAGAAAAAUCCGGGUUGUUUUCUCGUGGUUUGCCCUGUAAAUUAUUUUUUGACAUUUCCAUGCUUGGGGGUGCCAAAACCUCCCCUAAGUCAUGUCCGGAGGUGCCAAAAUCUCCUCUGGAGCGUCACCAAAAAGAUCAAUCAGUCAAUUAUUUUUUUUA